CGGCGAACGGGUGAGUAACACGUGGGUGACCUGCCCUCCACUUCGGGAUAAGCCUGGGAAACUGGGUCUAAUACCGGAUAUGACUUCUGGGUGCAUGCCUGGUUGUGGAAAGUUUUUUCGGUGGGGGAUGGGCCCGCGGUCUAUCAGCUUGUUGGUGGGGUGAUGGCCUACCAAGGCGACGACGGAUAGCCGGCCUGAGAGGGUGAUCGGCCACACUGGGACUGAGACACGGCCCAG
rnacentral:rRNA from 1 species